GAUGAACGCUGGCGGCGUGCCUAAUACAUGCAAGUCGAGCGAGCAGAUGAGGAGCUUGCUCCUCUGACGUUAGCGGCGGACGGGUGAGUAACACGUGGAUAACCUACCUAUAAGACUGGGAUAACUUCGGGAAACCGGAGCUAAUACCGGAUAAUAUAUUGAACCGCAUGGUUCAAUAGUGAAAGACGGUUUUGCUGUCACUUAUAGAUGGAUCCGCGCCGCAUUAGCUAGUUGGUAAGGUAACGGCUUACCAAGGCAACGAUGCGUAGCCGACCUGAGAGGGUGAUCGGCCACACUGGAACUUAGACACGGUCCAGACUCCUACGGGAGGCAGCAGUAGGGAAUCUUCCGCAAUGGGCGAAAGCCUGACGGAGCAACGCCGCGUGAGUGAUGAAGGUCUUCGGAUCGUAAAACUCUGUUAUUAGGGAAGAACAAAUGUGUAAGUAACUAUGCACGUCUUGACGGUACCUAAUCAGAAAGCCACGGCUAACUACGUG
rnacentral:rRNA from 1 species